rnacentral:misc_RNA from 1 species
AACACUGUUAACCUGCGGUACCUGCGGAGGGAUCAUUACUGUGACUUACUACUACACUGCGUGAGCGGAACGAAAACAACAACACCUAAAAUGUGGAAUAUAGCAUAUAGUCGACAAGAGAAAUCUACGAAAAAACAAACAAAACUUUCAACAAUGGAUCU